rnacentral:rRNA from 1 species
GUGUCAGCCGCCGCGGUAAGACGUAGGGCGCAAGCGUUGUCCGGAUUUAUUGGGCGUAAAGAGCUCGUAGGCGGCCUGUCGCGUCGUCCGUGAAAACCUGGGGCUUAACUCUGGGCGUGCGGUCGAUACGGGCAGGCUGGAGGCAGGUAGGGGAGAUCGGAAUUCCUGGUGUAGCGGUGAAAUGCGCAGAUAUCAGGAGGAACACCGGUGGCGAAGGCGGAUCUCUGGGCCUGUUCUGACGCUGAGGAGCGAAAGCGUGGGGAGCGAACAGGAUUAGAAACCCGCGUAGUCC